GCUUGCUCUCGGGUGACGAGCGGCGGACGGGUGAGUAAUGUCUGGGAAACUGCCUGAUGGAGGGGGAUAACUACUGGAAACGGUAGCUAAUACCGCAUAAUGUCGCAAGACCAAAGUGGGGGACCUUCGGGCCUCAUGCCAUCAGAUGUGCCCAGAUGGGAUUAGCUAGUAGGUGGGGUAACGGCUCACCUAGGCGACGAUCCCUAGCUGGUCUGAGAGGAUGACCAGCCACACUGGAACUGAGACACGGUCCAGACUCCUACGGGAGGCAGCAGUGGGGAAUAUUGCACAAUGGGCGCAAGCCUGAUGCAGCCAUGCCGCGUGUGUGAAGAAGGCCUUCGGGUUGUAAAGCACUUUCAGCGGGGAGGAAGGCGAUAAGGUUAAUAACCUUGUCGAUUGACGUUACCCGCAGAAGAAGCACCGGCUAACUCCGUGCCAGCAGCCGCGGUAAUACGGAGGGUGCAAGCGUUAAUCGGAAUUACUGGGCGUAAAGCGCACGCAGGCGGUCUGUCAAGUCGGAUGUGAAAUCCCCGGGCUCAACCUGGGAACUGCAUUCGAAACUGGCAGGCUAGAGUCUUGUAGAGGGGGGUAGAAUUCCAGGUGUAGCGGUGAAAUGCGUAGAGAUCUGGAGGAAUACCGGUGGCGAAGGCGGCCCCCUGGACAAAGACUGACGCUCAGGUGCGAAAGCGUGGGGAGCAAACAGGAUUAGAUACCCUGGUAGUCCACGCCGUAAACGAUGUCGAUUUGGAGGUUGUGCCCUUGAGGCGUGGCUUCCGGAGCUAACGCGUUAAAUCGACCGCCUGGGGAGUACGGCCGCAAGGUUAAAACUCAAAUGAAUUGACGGGGGCCCGCACAAGCGGUGGAGCAUGUGGUUUAAUUCGAUGCAACGCGAAGAACCUUACCUGGUCUUGACAUCCACAGAACUUUCCAGAGAUGGAUUGGUGCCUUCGGGAACUGUGAGACAGGUGCUGCAUGGCUGUCGUCAGCUCGUGUUGUGAAAUGUUGGGUUAAGUCCCGCAACGAGCGCAACCCUUAUCCUUUGUUGCCAGCGGUUAGGCCGGGAACUCAAAGGAGACUGCCAGUGAUAAACUGGAGGAAGGUGGGGAUGACGUCAAGUCAUCAUGGCCCUUACGACCAGGGCUACACACGUGCUACAAUGGCAUAUACAAAGAGAAGCGACCUCGCGAGAGCAAGCGGACCUCAUAAAGUAUGUCGUAGUCCGGAUUGGAGUCUGCAACUCGACUCCAUGAAGUCGGAAUCGCUAGUAAUCGUAGAUCAGAAUGCUACGGUGAAUACGUUCCCGGGCCUUGUACACACCGCCCGUCACACCAUGGGAGUGGGUUCAAUAAGAAGUAG
rnacentral:rRNA from 1 species